UACGGGGGGGGCAAGCGUUGUUCGGAAUUACUGGGCGUAAAGGGCUCGUAGGCGGCCAACUAAGUCAUACGUGAAAUCCCUCGGCUUAACCGGGGAACUGCGUCUGAUACUGGAUGGCUUGAGAUUGGGAGAGGGAUGCGGAAUUCCAGGUGUAGCGGUGAAAUGCGUAGAUAUCUGGAGGAACACCGGUGGCGAAGGCGGCAUCCUGGACCGGUAUUGACGCUGAGGCGCGAAAGCUAGGGGAGCAAACGGG
rnacentral:rRNA from 1 species